GAUGAACGCUAGCGGCGUGCUUAACACAUGCAAGUCGAACGAUGAAGCCCACUUGUGGGUGGAUUAGUGGCGAACGGGUGAGUAACACGUGAGUAACCUGCCCUUGACUCUGGGAUAAGCCUGGGAAACUGGGUCUAAUACCGGAUAUGACCUUCCAUCGCAUGGUGGUUGGUGGAAAGCUUUUGUGGUUUUGGAUGGACUCGCGGCCUAUCAGCUUGUUGGUGGGGUAAUGGCCUACCAAGGCGACGACGGGUAGCCGGCCUGAGAGGGUGACCGGCCACACUGGGACUGAGACACGGCCCAGACUCCUACGGGAGGCAGCAGUGGGGAAUAUUGCACAAUGGGCGGAAGCCUGAUGCAGCGACGCCGCGUGAGGGAUGACGGCCUUCGGGUUGUAAACCUCUUUCAGUAGGGAAGAAGCGAGAGUGACGGUACCUGCAGAAGAAGCGCCGGCUAACUACGUGCCAGCAGCCGCAGUAAAAC
rnacentral:rRNA from 1 species